UUAUACAGCAUGAUCAAUAUUGGACUUCCUGUUAUUGUUUAUAAUUAAGGACGUUUAAACCUGGUGUGCCAACAGAAAGUGAUACGCCACUACAGGAAAACGUCAAAUCGGAUUUCGAAUGUUUUUAGGAUUAUGGAAGCACGAAGUGCGGAAUAAUCCGUAGGUAUCA
rnacentral:sRNA from 1 species